GGGCGUGUAGCUCAGCUGGUUAGAGCGCUACACUGAUAAUGUAGAGGUCCCUGGUUCAAAUCCAGGCACGCCCACCA
rnacentral:tRNA from 6 species